rnacentral:rRNA from 1 species
UAAAAGAACUUAAUUUUUAGUACCCCCUGCUCAAUGAUUUUAAAUAGCCGCAGUCUCCUGUGCUAAGGUAGCAUAAUCAUUUGCCUAAUAAUUAUAGGAUAGAAUGAAAGGUGUUACAUGUUAUCUUCUUUAUUAAACAGGUUAAUUUAAAUUAAUUUUUAAGUAAAAACCCUUAAAUUAUUAGGGGGACGACAAGACCCUGACGAACUUUACUCUAUGUUUAGCUGGGGCGGCAAAUAAAUAAAACCUUUUUUCUACUCUCUCGUAAUCAACCCAUUAAAUCGAUUCUCAAGUUACCGCAGGGAUAACAGCAUAAUACUCUCCUGAAGACCUUAUACAAGAGAUUGUUUGUGACCUCGAUGUUGAAUUAAAAAUCUAUUAGAGGCAACACUCUAAUAAGAGAGUCUGUUCGACUCUUAAAAAUUU